rnacentral:rRNA from 1 species
AUCAGCAGCCAUCCCACCUGCAAUCCAGACUUGGUAAUCUGUCUGAAGUUAAGCAGAUUUGGUCAGUACUUGGAUGGGAGACCAACUAGGAAAACUGGGUUUCUGCUGAAA